GACGUAGGGCGCGAGCGUUGUCCGGAUUUAUUGGGCGUAAAGAGCUCGUAGGCGGCUUGUCGCGUCGACUGUGAAAACCCGCGGCUCAACUGCGGGCCUGCAGCCGAUACGGGCAGGCUAGAGUUCGGUAGGGGAGACUGGAAUUCCUGGUGUAGCGGUGAAAUGCGCAGAUAUCAGGAGGAACACCGGUGGCGAAGGCGGCUCACUGGCUCAUAUCUGACGCUCAGGCGCGACAGCGUGGGGAUCAAACAGG
rnacentral:rRNA from 1 species